UACGUAGGGACCGAGCGUUGUCCGGAUUCAUUGGGCGUAAAGAGCUCGUAGGCGGCUGUUCAAGUCGAACGUGAAAACUCGGAGCUCAACUCCGAGCCUGCGUUCGAGACUGGAUGGCUAGAGUCUGGUAGGGGGAUCUGGAAUUCCUGGUGUAGCGGUGGAAUGCGCAGAUAUCAGGAGGAACACCGAUGGCGAAGGCAGGUCUCUGGGCCAUAACUGACGCUGAGAAGCGAAAGCAUGGGGAGCAAACAGG
rnacentral:rRNA from 1 species